UACGUAGGGAGCAAGCGUUGUCCGGAAUCAUUGGGCGUAAAGCGCGCGUAGGCGGCCCGAUAAGUCCGCUGUAAAAGUCAACGGCUCAACUGUUGAAAGCCGGUGGAUACUGUCGGGCUAGAGUACGGAAGAGGCAAGUGGAAUUCCUGGUGUAGCGGUGGAAUGCGCAGAUAUCAGGAGGAACACCCAUAGCGAAGGCAGCUUGCUGGGACGCAACUGACGCUAAGGCGCGAAAGCGUGGGGAGCGAACAGG
rnacentral:rRNA from 1 species